rnacentral:pre_miRNA from 1 species
GGGAGGGGGGUCCCCGGUGCUCGGAUCUCGAGGAUGCUUAUUGUUCGGUCCGAGCCUGGGUCUCCCUCUUCCCCCCAA